rnacentral:rRNA from 1 species
UACAGAGGUCCCGAGCGUUGUUCGGAUUCACUGGGCGUAAAGGGUGCGUAGGUGGCAUGGUAAGUUUGAUGUGAAAGCUCAGGGCUCAACCCUGAAAUGGCAUUGAAUACUACUGUGCUGGAGGUUUGGAGGGGGGGACUGGAAUUCUCGGUGUAGCAGUGAAAUGCGUAGAUAUCGAGAGGAACACCAGUGGCGAAGGCGAGUCCCUGGACAACACCUGACACUGAGGCACGAAAGCUAGGGGGAGCAAACAGG